GUAACGUGAAGAACUCUCUCCAAA
rnacentral:siRNA from 1 species